rnacentral:rRNA from 1 species
CAGUAGCCGCGGUAAUACAGAGGAUGCAAGCGUUAUCCGGAAUGAUUGGGCGUAAAGCGUCUGUAGGUGGCUUUUCAAGUCCGCCGUCAAAUCCCAGGGCUCAACCCUGGACAGGCGGUGGAAACUACCAAGCUGGAGUACGGUAGGGGCAGAGGGAAUUUCCGGUGGAGCGGUGAAAUGCGUAGAUAUCGGAAGGAACACCUGUGGUGAAAGCGGCUCACUGGACUAUUUCUGACGCUGAUGCACGAAAGCUAGGGGAGCAAACAGGAUUAGAUACCCGGGUAGUCCCUGUCUCUUAUAC